GUUCUGGGCCGCACGCGCGCUACACUGACGGAGCCAGCGAGUACAACCUUGGCCGAGAGGUCUGGGUAAUCUUGUGAAACUCCGUCGUGCUGGGGAUAGAGCAUUGUAAUUAUUGCUCUUCAACGAGGAAUUCCUAGUAAGCGCAAGUCAUCAGCUUGCGUUGAUUACGUCCCUGCCCUUUGUACACACCGCCCGUCGCUAGUACCGAUUGAAUGGCUUAGUGAGGCCUCAGGAUUUGCUUAGAGAAGGGGGCAACUCCAUCUCAGAGCGAAAAAUCUGGUCAAACUUGGUCAUUUAGAGGAACUAAAAGUCGUAACAAGGUUUCCGUAGGUGAACCUGCGGAAGGAUCAUUAAAGAUUAUGUAUGAGUAGUUUACUGGGGAAGUCACAAAGAACUUGAGCCUGCGCUUAAUUGCGCGGCCAAUUCCUGACUUUCUGCUAUCAGUAUUCUAUUUUUCAUCCUAAACACAAUGGAGUUUUUUCUCUAUAAACUACUUCCCUGGAGAACUCGUUUCUCCAGUGGACAUAAACACAAACAAUCUUUUGUAUUAUGAAAACUUAUUUAUCAAUAAAUUUAAUAUUCAAAACUUUCAACAACGGAUCUCUUGGUUCUCGCAUCGAUGAAGAACGCAGCGAAUUGCGAUAAGUAUUGUGAAUUGCAGAUUUUCGUGAAUCAUCGAAUCUUUGAACGCACAUUGCGCCCUUUGGUAUUCCAGGGGGCAUGCCUGUUUGAGCGUCAUUUCCUUCUCAAACCUCUGGGUUUGGUUGUGAGUGAUACUCUCUUCUGGGUUAACUUGAAAGGGUUAACCGUUGCCUUCUGCCCAACAAGGCUGCGUGGUCAAAUCUACAAACUCCACUUUUGGGUAUCUACCUCUUAGGUUUGCCCCAAUCCGGGUAACUAAGG
rnacentral:rRNA from 1 species